CCCUUAGAUGUCCUGGGCCGCACGCGCGCUACGCUGACAUGUUCAACAAGCCUCCUAGUUCGACAGGAUUUGGGAAAUCUUUGAACGCAUGUCGUGAUAGGGAUAGAUCAUUGCAAUUAUUGAUCUUGAACGAGGAAUUCCUAGUAAACGCGAGUCAUCAGCUCGCAUUGAUUACGUCCCUGCCCUUUGUACACACCGCCCGUCGCACCUACCGAUUGGAUGGUCCGGUGAAGCCUCGGGAUUGUGGUUCUUGCCGCUUUAUUGUGGCGUGACCGCGAGAACUUGUCUAAACCUUAUCAUCUAGAGGAAGGUGAAGUCGUAACA
rnacentral:rRNA from 1 species